CACACACACACACACACACACACACACACACACACACACACACACACACACACACACACACACACACACACACACACACACGAUUAGGAAUGUUCCCCCUAUUUACAUGGUUGUGUGUCAGAGGUGAGGGAUGAUAAGCAAGUGUUUGAGAAGAGGUGUCUGGUGUGAGAGGAGGACAUGCAGAUGCACUCCAAGUUCCUGGACUGAAAGGAGGAGUUGAAGGCAGAACAUGCCUCGUACCUGCGUAAGCACCCGGAGCUCGACUUAUUGCAGUUGCUGUUACUACUGAAACUGAGCGGCGUCUUCAUCUUUGUCUGACUUUACCCUCUUCCCCUCCCUUCGGGGGGACCUUCAACACCUCCUCACCUUGAGGACACAUACUGUGGCUGCGUCUCAAUAGUCUAGUAGCUUCCUCUCACAGUCACUUUAGUGAGGACAAUACUGUUCUGGUUAGCACUUGACGCUAGUAUGUACAAAGACCCUUGAUCAUCAAUGCUUUUAUGGAUGUUUUGUAUUUUAUUUUGUGAUACUUGUGAUACUGUUCUACUGUUUUUGCUUGUAUUAGCUGCGCAAAAAAAUUAUGAUCAACUCUAUUGAGUUGAGAGUUACAGUUAUGUCAGUUGGUGUGACUAAAAUGCAAUUUCUUAUUUUAGGUAUUGUAUAUUUUCCAUGCUUUAUUUCUGUUAGGAACUUUAUCCUCAAGUGUGAUAAUUUAUCCCUGACUGCUACUUUGCUUUGGCUCUGAUGUGAUCACCUUUGACAAUUUAAGUUAUAAAUUGAGGUAAUGCUAGGUCUGUAUGAUCUGGUUUCUGAAUGGAAUACUGCUGUCAAUUGGCCAUUACAAAAUUAGACAGGACAUCAUGGUUUUGGUGUCCUUUAAACUUUAACCACUAGUUCUGAUUUAACCACAAAAGAUUGAAGGCCAUGGGCUUAUCUUGGUGGAAAGCAGAAAAUGUUGCCAAGGACCAUCAGGCAUGGCAAGUGCUUGUUGUUGUUGCAUUAUGCCCCACAGGAAGCAAAGUACUGUACUUGCUAUAGUUCUUGUCUCCAAUGCUGAUAAACCUGUGUGUAACACAUGUGCUGUUGGAUGUGCAAGGACUAUCAGCUAAAUUAAACGCAAAUUACAAAAGA